rnacentral:rRNA from 1 species
GACGAACGCUGGCGGCGUGCUUAACACAUGCAAGUCGAACGGAAAGGCGCUGCUUUUGUGGGGGGCUCGAGUGGCGAACGGGAGAGUAACACGUGAGUAACCUGCCCUUGACUUUGGGAUAACUUCAGGAAACUGGGGCUAAUACCGGAUAGGAGCUCCUGCUGCAUGGUGGGGGUUGGAAAGUUUCGGCGGUUGGGGAUGGGGUCGCGGCUUAUCAGCCUGUUGGUGGGGUAGUGGCUUACCAAGGCUUUGACGGGUAGCCGGCCUGAGAGGGUGACCGGCCACAUUGGGACUGAGAUACGGCGCAGACUCGUACGGGAGGCAGCAGUGGGGAAUAUUGCACAAUGGGCGGACGCCUGAUGCAGCAGCGCCGCGUGCGGGAUGACGGCCUUCGGGUUGUAAACCGCUUUCGCCUGUGACGAAGCGUGAGUGACGGUAAUGGGUAAAGAAGCACCGGCUAACUACGUG